CAACCCUCAAGCACUGCUUGGUCUUGGGCUCCGCUGCUAACCCGGCGGGCCUUAAAAUGAGUGGCGGCGCCAUCGGGCUCUGAGCGUAGUAAAUUUCCUCGCUACGGAGUCCUGGUGACGGUGGCCAUCAACCCCCAACUUUCUAC
rnacentral:misc_RNA from 1 species